GACGAACGCUGGCGGCGUGCUUAACACAUGCAAGUCGAACGGAAAGGCCCUGCUUUUGUGGGGUGGCCGGGGGGCGAACGGGUGAGUAAAACGGGAGUAACCUCCCCUGGACUUUGGGAUAACUUAAGGAAACUGGGCUUAAUACCGGAAAGAAGCCCCUGCUGAAUGGUGGGGGUUGGAAGGUUUCGGCGGUUGGGGAUGGACUCUCGGCUAAUCGGCUUGUUGGUGGGGUAGUGGCUAACCAAGGCUUUGACGGGUAGCCGGCCUGAGAGGGUGACCGGCCACAUUGGGACUGAGAUACGGCCCAGACUCCUACGGGAGGCAGCAGUGGGGAAUAUUGCACAAUGGGCGGAAGCCUGAUGCAGCAACGCCGCGUGCGGGAUGACGGCCUUCGGGUUGUAGACCGCUUUAGCCUGUGACGAAGCGUGAGUGACGGUAAUGGGUAAAGAAGCACCGGCUAACUACGUG
rnacentral:rRNA from 1 species